UACAGGGGUAGCUCAGUCGGUAGAGCAUGUGACUCUUAAUCUCAGGAUCAUGGGUUCAAGCCCCAAAUUGGGCAAAA